rnacentral:rRNA from 1 species
UACGUAGGGUGCAAGCGUUGCCCGGAUUUAUUGGGCGUAAAGGGCGCGCAGGCGGCUACGCACGUCCGUUGUGAAAUCGCUCGGCUCAACUGGGCGGGGUCGGCGGAUACGGCGUAGCUGGAGCAAGCUAGGGGGCAAUGGAAUUCCCGGUGUAGUGGUGGGAUGCGUAGAUAUCGGGAGGAACACCAGUGGCGAAGGCGGUUGCCUGGAGCUUUGCUGACGCUGAGGCGCGAAAGCGUGGGGAGCGAUCCGG